CACGGAGUUAGCCGGGGCUUAUUCUCCCGGUACUGUCAUUAUCAUCCCGGGUAAAAGAGCUUUACAACCCUAAGGCCUUCAUCGCUCACGCGGCAUUGCUGGAUCAGGCUUUCGCCCAUUGUCCAAUAUUCCCUACUGCUGCCUCCCGUAGGAGUCUGGGCCGUGUCUCAGUCCCAGUGUGGCUGAUCAUCCUCUCAGACCAGCUAAGGAUCGUCGCCUUGGUGAGCCUUUACCUCACCAACUAGCUAAUCCUACGCGGGCUCAUCCCUGGGCGAUAAAUCUUUGGACUUACGUCAUCAUCCGGUAUUAGCAGUCAUUUCUAACUGUUAUUCCGAACCCAAGGGCAGAUUCCCACGCGUUACGCACCCGUGCGCCACUAGAUCCGAAGAUCUCGUUCGACUUGCAUGUAUUAGGCAUGCCGCCAGCGUUCGUUCUGAGCCAGGAUCAAACUC
rnacentral:rRNA from 1 species